rnacentral:rRNA from 1 species
AACGAACGCUGGCGGCAUGCCUAACACAUGCAAGUCGAACGAAGUGGCGCAAGGGUGCGUCACGCGUGGGAAUCUGCCCUUAGGUUCGGAAUACCAGCUGGAAACGGCUGCUAAUACAGGAUGCCUGAGGAUGAGCCCUCGUUGGAUUAGGUAGUUAGUGGGGUAAAGGCCUACCAAGCCGACGAUCCAUAGCUGGUCUGAGAGGAUGUUCAGCCACACUGGGACUGGGACACGGCCCAGACUCCUUCGGGAGGCAGCAGUGUGGAAUAUUGGACAGUGGUCGAAAGCCUGAGCCACCAAUGCCGCGUGAGUGAUGAAGGCCCUAGGGUUGUAAAGCUCUUUUACCCGGGAAGCUGUACCGGGAGAAUAAGCCCCGGCUAACUCCGUGCCAGCAGCCGCGGUAAUUC